AGAGUUUGAUUCUGGCUCAGAACGAACGCUGGCGGCGUGGAUAAGACAUGCAAGUCGAGCGGAACACUGUAAGUAGCAAUACCUGCAGUGUUUAGCGGCGCAAGGGUGCGUAACUCGUGGGUAAUCUGCCUUAAAGACUGGGACAACUCCGAGAAAUCGGAGCUAAUACCGGAUGUAAGACUCAGAAGGCAUCUUUUGAGUUUCAAAGCUGGGGACCGCAAGGCCCGGCGCUUUAAGAUGAACCCGCGUCCUAUCAGCUAGUUGGCGAGGUAACGGCUCACCAAGGCAAAGACGGGUAGCUGGUCUGAGAGGACGACCAGCCACACUGGAACUGAGACACGGUCCAGACACCUACGGGUGGCAGCAGUCGAGAAUCUUUCACAAUGGGCGCAAGCCUGAUGAAGCGACGCCGCGUGGGGGAUGAAUGGCUUCGGUCCGUAAACCCCUGUCAUUCGCGAGCAAGGCUGCUGACAUAAUACGUCAGUAGUUGAUAGUAGCGAAAGAGGAAGAGACGGCUAACUCUGUGCCAGCAGCCGCGGUAAUACAGAGGUCUCAAGCGUUGUUCGGAUUCACUGGGCGUAAAGGGUGCGUAGGCGGCAGUGCAAGUUUGAUGUGAAAGCUCCGAGCUCAACUCGGAAAUGGCAUUGAAAACUGCAUAGCUAGAGGGUUGGAGGGGGGACUUGAAUUCUCGGUGUAGCAGUGAAAUGCGUAUAUAUCGAGAGGAACACCAGUGGCGAAGGCGAGUCCCUGGACAACUUCUGACGCUGAGGCACGAAAGCUAGGGGAGCAAACAGGAUUAGAUACCCUGGUAGUCCUAGCCCUAAACUGUGCACGUUUGCUGUGGGCGGAAUCGACCCCGUCCGUGGCGUAGCUAACGCGUUAAACGUGCCGCCUGGGAAGUACGGCCGCAAGGCUAAAACUCAAAGAAAUUGACGGGGGCCUGCACAAGCGGUGGAGUAUGUGGCUUAAUUCGAUCAACGCGAAGAACCUUACCUGGCCUUGACAUGCAAGUGGUAGAAGCCUGAAAGGGCGACGAUCCCGCAAGGGAAGCUUGCACAGGUGCUGCAUGGCUGUCGUCAGCUCGUGUCGUGAGAUGUUGGGUUAAGUCCCGCAACGAGCGCAACCCCUAUGUCCUGUUGCCACCUCCAUGAGAGUGGAGAGCACUCUGGACAGACUGCCUCGCUUCAACGAGGAGGAAGGUGGGGAUGACGUCAAGUCAGUAUGGCCCUUACGGCCAGGGCUGCACACGUACUACAAUGCCUGGCAUAAUGGGAAGCAACACGGCAACGUGAAGCAAAUCCUCAAAACCAGGCUCAGUUCGGAUUGUCGUCUGCAACUCGACGGCAUGAAGCUGGAAUCGCUAGUAACGGCGCAUCAGCUACGGCGCCGUGAAUACGUUCCCAGGCCUUGUACACACCGCCCGUCACAUCAUGAAAGCCGGUUGUACCCGAAGUCGCCGCGUCAACCGUAAGGAGGCACGCGCCGAAGGUAUGGCUGGUGAUUGGGAUGAAGUCGUAACAAGGUA
rnacentral:rRNA from 1 species